GAUCGAUAAGGUUCUUGGUGUG
rnacentral:siRNA from 1 species